CGGCGGGGCGGGGCGGGGCGGGAAGCGCGGUUAGUGCCGGCGCUAGGCGGUUCGUCCCAUCUAGUGGCUGCUGAGUCCCAUCAAGUGUAGUCAUCACCCUGAGGAUAAUGCUUCUGGGAUCAAGCUCUUCAGAUCAAGAGGAACUGUACUCAAGGAGCUAUAUUUAAGGAACUGUACCCAAGAAGUUCAUCCAUACCUGGAUCUCAAGCCUGAGCCUGAUCGUUGUGGGUAUUGGGGGAGAGAACAAGUAUAUAUUUUUUUGCAUGUGGAGGGAUGUGAACUGCUGUGACCAGAAGGUGGACUGUAGCAUAUAGUAUUUUUGAAAAUUGGUUUCAACAAUAUUUGUGGUCGUACGUGUUCUUCUAGAACCAUGCCACUUAGAAGCUGAGUUUAUUUCCUCUCCUCUUGAACCUGGGCUGGCCUUCGAACUGAUUAAUAGAAUGUGGAGGAGCUGAUACUGUAUGACUGACAAGGCUAGGUCAUAAAAGGUGGUACUGUUUCUGGCUGGCUCUCUCGGGAGACGAACCAUGAGAGACUAUGGACUCGGAGAAACAAACUCAGGGUUCUAGAGGUGAGGCGGGUAGGGGGAUGGGUUAGCCUGGUGAUGGCUAUUAAAGAGGGCACGUACUGCAUGGAGCACUGGGUGUUAUACGCAAACAAUGAAUCAUGGAACACUACAUCAAAAACUAAUGAUGUAAUGUAUGGUGAUUAACAAACAUAAAAAAAAAAAAAAGAUGCUUACCUUUGGAACCUAGCCACCAUAGUGUAAGGAAGCCUAGGCCACAUACAGAAGCUAUGUGAAACCAGCCAAGAUUUCAUCUGACCGCAUCAGCCACUGGAUGUGUUAGUGAAUGAGCCUUUAUUUAAUUUUAGUCCCCAGCCUUUGAGCCACCCCAGUUGAUCCUAAGUGGAGCAGAGACAAACUAUCUCCUCUGAGGCCUGUUUAAAUUGCAGAUUCAUGAGCAAAGUAAGUGGAGUCUUGGUCAGUAAGUAUUAGGGUUAUUUUUUUUAUAUAGCCAUAGUAACUGAAAUAAUUAGGAAGGUAUAUAGUUUCAGAGUUUGUUUUUUAAUUAAGUUUUGGUAAUAAGGUUUUGCUGGUUUCAUGAAAUGAAUUGGGAAACAUUUCAUCUUUUAUUUGGUAUGGAAUAAUUUAAAUAACAUUGUAAUUAUUUGUUCCUUAAUUGUUAGAACUCAGAUUUAAAGGUUUUUUGGGUGUGUUAUUUAAAAUAAUAGGGGAGGGUGCCUGGGUGGCUCAG